ACAUGGCACCAUGUUUCUUGAGGCUAUACCAAGGUGAUGUGACUCUUCUGACCUGGCCCUGCCUGCGAAGGAGAUUAUAAUACAUCCCGAAUUCAGAAUCCAGGAAGUUUUGUAACAUAUCAUUUGACUCAGCAUCUUGGAGAUGUUUCUCCUCUCCUACCUUGCCCUGACCACAGGGGAGAUUGUGACAUAUUGUUAAACCCAGCUCCAAGGUGAUAUUGUGCCAUAUACCUGAGACCAGAUAAGAGGACUAAUCAUGACUCUUAAACCUGGAGCCAAGUCAUAUGCAAGAUGGUGACUCCAAUUCCUGGAACCUUCCACCAGUGUUUUUGUGACCUAUACCUUCACCCAGCUCCUGAGUGAUUUAAUAAUCCGGCCCAGGUGUAGCCCACAAAUGAGAUUUGGACAUUUGCCUCAGCUGAGCGCCUUGGUGAUUUGACUCUCCUGUCUUAACAAUAUCCUCAGGAAGGAUUGUAACAUGUAUCUGGACCCAUCAUCUAGUUGCCUGACUCUCCUCUCCUGCCUGGACCCUGCUUCCACUGGGGAUUGUAACAUUUCUAAGCACUUUAUCCAAAAGAUAUGACUCUCUUGCCUGGUCAUUUCAGGCUAACAGAAGACAUCGUGACAUAUCUCUGUGCAUAUCAUUUAGGUGAUAUGAGUCUCCUCUUCUGCCUGGACACUGCCCACAAGGGGCACGGUGCCAUACAUCUAGGUGUAACCCCAAGUUAUGCAACUUUUCUGCCAGGAAAAUAUCUAAAAGGAUAAUAUUGGAAAAUUUCUGGCUCAGCAUUUAGGUGACUUGGCUGUCAUGCCUGUUUCAUUACUACAGAGUAAAUUGUGACAUAUGCCUAGGAACAGUUCACAGGCAUGAUAAUGACUCUCAUAUGUGGACUCCACAAACAGGAGUAAUUUUUACUCUCAUAACUUGCUUUAGAAACACUAGUGAUUAAAUCUCUUUCUGGUAAAAAAAAAAAGGCAAAGAAGAUUUUGAUAGCCUCAGAUAUUUUAUAAAGCCCUUGGUUUGUACAGAGAGUGUCAUAACAGAACCCAGCAGAAAGGUAAAAUUUUGAGUCUAAAAUGCACACCUAGCUGACAGUAAGGACUGUGAUUGUCUCACAUAUAUGAAGCCAACUGUCA